AUUGAACGCUGGCGGCAGGCCUAACACAUGCAAGUCGAACGAGUGGCGGACGGGUGAGUAAUGUCUGGGAACCUGCCCGAUGGAGGGGGCUAACUACUGGAAACGGUAGCUAAUACCGCAUACCAUCGGAUGUGCCCAGAUUGGAUUAGCUAGUAGGUGGGGUAACGGCUCACCUAGGCGACGCACCCUAGCUGGUGUGAGAGGGUGACCAGCCACACUGGAACUGAGACACGGUCCAGACUCCUACGGGAGGCAGCAGUGGGGAAUAUUGCGCAAUGGGCGCAAGCCUGAUGCAGCCAUGCCGCGUGUAUGAAGAAGGCCUUCGGGUUGUAAAGUUCUUUCAGCGGGGAGGCGUUACUCGCAGAAAAAGCACCGGCUAACUCCGUGCCAGCAGCCGCGGUAAUUC
rnacentral:rRNA from 1 species